rnacentral:lncRNA from 1 species
GGGACGCCGAGGGGAGGAGGAGGAGGCGGCUCGGAUGGCUGGCUCGGCUCUCGCUCGCUCUCCCUCCCAUGGGCAAGUCCGGCUCACACCCUGCUUCUCCCGCUCACUCACAGCCCCCUUGGCUCUCCCUCCUCCUCCUCCUUCCCCUGCGGGAUCCGCUCGCCGCCGCCGCCGCCGCCGCAGACGGCAAGUCGUGGCAGCCAGACGUCGGCGCGUAACCCGGCGCUCCGUGCGUGACUCCAGGCGACGUCAGCGCGCGCUCCGCGUUCCCCACCCCUCCUCCCAACUCCGUGGCUCGCGCCCUUCGCUCUCGCGUCCCUCCGUUUUAGCUGCCGCCGCGGCGGCCGCCGAGCGCGCUCUUUCCGCCCCCUUCUCGCGCGUGAGCGCGCCCUAUCGGCUCCUGGCGCGUCAACAUUCCGCGGGCCAGGCCUUGGGGCGCGUCUGAGGAGGGGGAUGUCUGUGGCCUCUCCGCCCACACUUCCUCCACCCACCGCCCACAGCGCCCCAGAAGGACCUAUUACUCGUUUGGCUUCUGAAGGCCGAAGCCAGGCUCUGGCGGGGAUAGAACCCUGAAGGGCCUGCGCCAGCUCCAACUUAGGGCCCUUAUCUUUUGCUGCCUCUUACGUAUUGUAGGCAGUGCCUGAUGGCUGAGAAGAAUCGCAGAGGACUAGAAAAGGUUUGAGUCUGAAAUUAUCUGGCACAGAGGAUUAAAGCUCAGAAAUAAGUGAUUGCGAAACAGUUCAACUUCCCUGUUAAUGACAACAACAACAGCAACACGCUUAUUAAUUCCUAGCUGGAGCAUCAAGCUUAUGAAGAUUUCCAAGACUUUAUUGUUGACCCUUGUUGAAGAGAACUCUACUUGGCUUCUUUCCUGGCUUUCCUAAAUUGUUCACAUACAAGAUAAACUACCGUCAUUCAGACUUACAGAAGUGAGAAGACAAGCUGAACCAAAUGUAAAAUGGUAGCAAUUUACAGAUGUCAGAACUAACAUGUGGAUGAACUUAGAGAUGGAGAAGAAAGCUGGGCUUUUCCAAAGAGUGGAUCUAUCUGAACUGGAUAGCACUAUUGAACUUUGUUGCAUAUUUUGUGGUAGCUCUAAAACUCCUCUGCUUGCUUACAUACAACCAGACACCAGUGCCUUCUGAAGCUAAUCCAGGCCAUUUUUAUAACCUAAUGCAGUAGCACUUUGCAAUUAGAUGAAGAAGAUCGGUGGGAUUUCUUUCUGUGGUGAUUAAAAUGUGUCAGGGGAAGAAAUCAAGACAAUACUCCAAGUGAAAAAUAUAAAGUCAGUUAUUUCUUUAAUAUUUUGUGUUAUAGUAAUCAUUUUUAUAUUUUGAGCAUACUUUUUCUUGUCUACUUAAAUACUCAAAAUUAAUUAUAAAAUGUAAAUGUAAGCACAAUGAGAUACCAUCUCAUCCCAGUUAAAAUGGCUUUUAUCAAAAAGAUAGGGAAUAAUGAAUACUGGUGGAAGGAUGUGGAGAAUGGGGAACCCUCGUACACUGUCAAUGAGAAUGUAAAUUAGUACAGCCACUAUGGAAAACUGUAUGGAAGUGCCUCCGAAAACAAAGUAGAACUACCAUGUGAUCCAGCAAUUACACUAGUGGGUAUAUAUUCAAAAGAAAGGAAAUCAACAUAUUAAAGAGAUAGCUGCAUUCUCAUGUUUAUUGAAGUCCUGUUGAAAUAGCCAAAAUAUGGAAUCAACCUAAGUGCCCAUCAGUGGAUGAAUGGUUAAAGAAAAUGUGAUUGAUAUGCAAUGGAAUAUUAUUCAGCCAUAAAAAAGAAUGAAAUCCUGGCGGGGCACAGUGGCUCAUGCAAGUAAUCCCAGCACUGACCUCAUGAAGACAGAGAGUAGAUUGGUGGUUACCAGAGGUUGAGAAGGGGAGAGGAGAGGAGGGAUGAAGAGAGGUUGAUUGAUGGAUAGAAAUAUACAGUUUGAUAAUGAUAAAUCAGUAGGGUGACUAUAGUUUAUAAUAACCUAUUGUAUGGUUCAAAAUAGCUAAAAGAGAAUAAUUGAAAUAACGUAAGACAAAAAUUUAAGAUGAUAGAUAUCCCAAUUACACUGAUUUGAUCUUUACAAAUUAUAUGAAUGUAUUAAAUUAUUACAUGUAUCCCCAAAAUAUGUACAAGUAUUUUGUAUCAAUAAAAAAUAAAAUUUAAGAUAAAGUAAAUGUAAUGAUUAGCUUAUAUUUCCUAGAUCGGAAAUAAAUAUUUACUUAAGUAAAAAAAAAAAAAAAA